AUUAGACAGUACUCUCUCAGAACCAGGACUCUAGAAACUAAAUUUCACAUGAUAUUUAGACAGUACUCACUCAGAACCACCGAUGGCCAAUAGUAAAAUUAAAUAAUUGCAUCAGUAACGGCUCGAAGGAUGUGGGUGUGAUUCUGGCCGUAUUGCUUCGCCUGUGAAGGGAUCAAAUUUGUACGGCUGGCCAGUGAACGGAUCAAACCUCAUCUGGGGCCGCUCAGUCGGACGAUCAAUAGAUGAAUUUAGAGCUGAA
rnacentral:misc_RNA from 1 species